rnacentral:rRNA from 1 species
UUAAGUUAUUAAGGGCGCACGGUGGAUGCCUUGGCACUAGAAGCCGAUGAAGGACGUUACUAACGACGAUAUGCUUUUGGGGAGCUGUAAGUAAGCUUUGAUCCAGAGAUUUCCGAAUGGGGAAACCCAGCAUGAGUUAUGUCAUGUUAUCGAUAUGUGAAUACAUAGCAUAUCAGAAGGCACACCCGGAGAACUGAAACAUCUUAGUACCCGGAGGAAGAGAAAGAAAAUUCGAUUCCCUUAGUAGCGGCGAGCGAAACGGGAAGAGCCCAAACCAACAAGCUUGCUUGUUGGGGUUGUAGGACACUCUAUACGGAGUUACAAAGGACGACAUUAGACGAAUCAUCUGGAAAGAUGAAUCAAAGAAGGUAAUAAUCCUGUAGUCGAAAAUGUUGUCUCUCUUGAGUGGAUCCUGAGUACGACGGAGCACGUGAAAUUCCGUCGGAAUCUGGGAGGACCAUCUCCUAAGGCUAAAUACUCUCUAGUGACCGAUAGUGAACCAGUACCGUGAGGGAAAGGUGAAAAGCACCCCGGAAGGGGAGUGAAAUAGAACCUGAAACCGUGUGCUUACAAGUAGUCAGAGCCCGUUAAUGGGUGAUGGCGUGCCUUUUGUAGAAUGAACCGGCGAGUUACGAUUUGAUGCAAGGUUAAGCAGUAAAUGUGGAGCCGUAGCGAAAGCGAGUCUGAAUAGGGCGUUUAGUAUUUGGUCGUAGACCCGAAACCAGGUGAUCUACCCUUGGUCAGGUUGAAGUUCAGGUAACACUGAAUGGAGGGACCGAACCGACUUACGUUGAAAAGUGAGCGGAUGAACUGAGGGUAGCGGAGAAAUUCCAAUCGAACCUGGAGAUAGCUGGUUCUCUCCGAAAUAGCUUUAGGGCUAGCCUCAAGUGAUGAUUAUUGGAGGUAGAGCACUGUUUGGACGAGGGGCCCCUCUCGGGUUACCGAAUUCAGACAAACUCCGAAUGCCAAUUAAUUUAACUUGGGAGUCAGAACAUGGGUGAUAAGGUCCGUGUUCGAAAGGGAAACAGCCCAGACCACCAGCUAAGGUCCCAAAAUAUAUGUUAAGUGGAAAAGGAUGUGGCGUUGCCCAGACAACUAGGAUGUUGGCUUAGAAGCAGCCAUCAUUUAAAGAGUGCGUAAUAGCUCACUAGUCGAGUGACACUGCGCCGAAAAUGUACCGGGGCUAAACAUAUUACCGAAGCUGUGGAUUGUCCUUUGGACAAUGGUAGGAGAGCGUUCUAAGGGCGUUGAAGCAUGAUCGUAAGGACAUGUGGAGCGCUUAGAAGUGAGAAUGCCGGUGUGAGUAGCGAAAGACGGGUGAGAAUCCCGUCCACCGAUUGACUAAGGUUUCCAGAGGAAGGCUCGUCCGCUCUGGGUUAGUCGGGUCCUAAGCUGAGGCCGACAGGCGUAGGCGAUGGAUAACAGGUUGAUAUUCCUGUACCACCUAUAAUCGUUUUAAUCGAUGGGGGACGCAGUAGGAUAGGCGAAGCGUGCGAUUGGAUUGCACGUCUAAGCAGUAAGGCUGAGUAUUAGGCAAAUCCGGUACUCAUUAAGGCUGAGCUGUGAUGGGGAGAAGACAUUGUGUCUUCGAGUCGUUGAUUUCACACUGCCGAGAAAAGCCUCUAGAUAGAAAAUAGGUGCCCGUACCGCAAAACCGACACAGGUAGUCAAGAUGAGAAUUCUAAGGUGAGCGAUGCGAACUCUCGUUAAGGAACUCGGCAAAAUGACCCCGUAACUUCGGGAGAAGGGGUGCUCUUUAGGGUUAACGCCCAGAAGAGCCGCAGUGAAUAGGCCCAAGCGACUGUUUAUCAAAAACACAGGUCUCUGCUAAACCGUAAGGUGAUGUAUAGGGGCUGACGCCUGCCCGGUGCUGGAAGGUUAAGAGGAGUGGUUAGCUUCUGCGAAGCUACGAAUCGAAGCCCCAGUAAACGGCGGCCGUAACUAUAACGGUCCUAAGGUAGCGAAAUUCCUUGUCGGGUAAGUUCCGACCCGCACGAAAGGCGUAACGAUUUGGGCACUGUCUCAACGAGAGACUCGGUGAAAAUCAUAGUACCUGUGAAGAUGCAGGUUACCCGCGACAGGACGGAAAGACCCCGUGGAGCUUUACUGUAGCCUGAUAUUGAAAUUCGGCACAGCUUGUACAGGAUAGGUAGGAGCCUUUGAAACGUGAGCGCUAGCUUACGUGGAGGCGCUGGUGGGAUACUACCCUAGCUGUGUUGGCUUUCUAACCCGCACCACUUAUCGUGGUGGGAGACAGUGUCAGGCGGGCAGUUUGACUGGGGCGGUCGCCUCCUAAAAGGUAACGGAGGCGCUCAAAGGUUCCCUCAGAAUGGUUGGAAAUCAUUCAUAGAGUGUAAAGGCAUAAGGGAGCUUGACUGCGAGACCUACAAGUCGAGCAGGGUCGAAAGACGGACUUAGUGAUCCGGUGGUUCCGCAUGGAAGGGCCAUCGCUCAACGGAUAAAAGCUACCCCGGGGAUAACAGGCUUAUCUCCCCCAAGAGUUCACAUCGACGGGGAGGUUUGGCACCUCGAUGUCGGCUCAUCGCAUCCUGGGGCUGUAGUCGGUCCCAAGGGUUGGGCUGUUUCGCCAUUAAAGCGGUACGCGAGCUGGGUCAGAACGUCGUGAGACAGUUCGGUCCCUAUCCGUCGUGGGCGUAGGAAAUUUGAGAGGAGCUGUCCUUAGUACGAGAGGACCGGGAUGGACAUACCUCUGGUGUACCAGUUGUCGUGCCAACGGCAUAGCUGGGUAGCUAUGUGUGGACGGGAUAAGUGCUCGAAAGCAUCUAAGCAUGAAGCCCCCUCAAGAUGAGAUUUCCCAACUUCGGUUAUAAGAUCCCUCAAAGAUGAUGAGGUUAAUAGGUUCGAGGUGGAAGCAUGGUGACAUGUGGAGCUGACGAAUACUAAUCGAUCGAAGACUUAAUCAA